rnacentral:rRNA from 1 species
UACGUAGGGUGCAAGCGUUGCCCGGAUUUAUUGGGCGUAAAGGGCGCGUAGGCGGCUCGGCACAGCCCGUUGUGAAAUACGUCCCGGCUCAACUGGGCGGGGUCGGCGGAUACGGCCGAGCUGGAGCAAGCUUAGGGGGUAAGUGGAAUUCCCGGUGUAGUGGUGGAAUGCGUAGAUAUCGGGAAGGAACACCAGUGGCGAAGGCGGUUACCUGGGACGUUUGCUGACGACUGAUGCGCGAAAGCCGUGGGGAGCGAUCGG